rnacentral:rRNA from 1 species
AGUGAACGCUGGCGGUAGGCCUAACACAUGCAAGUCGAACGGCAGCACAGUAAGAGCUUGCUCUUACGGGUGGCGAGUGGCGGACGGGUGAGGAAUACAUCGGAAUCUUCUUUUUCGUGGGGGAUAACGUAGGGAAACUUACGCUAAUAUCGCAUACGAUCUACGGGUGAAAGCAGGGGAUCUUCGGACCUUGCGCGAUUGAAUGAGCCGAUGUCGGAUUAGCUAGUUGGCGGGGUAAAGGCCCACCAAGGCGACGAUACGUAGCUGGUCUGAGAGGAUGAUCAGCCACACUGGAACUGAGACACGGUCCAGACUCCUACGGGAGGCAGCAGUGGGGAAUAGUGGACAAUGGGCGCAAGCCUGAUCCAGCCAUACCGCGUGGGUGAAGAAGGCCUUCGGGUUGUAAAGCCCUUUUGUUGGGAAAGAAAAGCAGCAGGUUAAUACCCCGCUGUUCUGACGGUACCCAAAGAAUAAGCACCGGCUAACUUCGUG